GAGGGAGCAGAGGCGGGAAAAGCGCUGUGCAUAGAACCAGGUCGGGUAUGGAUAGCAGGGUGCACCGGGAGGCAGGACCGACGAGGAGAGAGCAUCCUCCCCAUCCCAGUUCUGGCACCCGGCCUCCCUAGUGCUUUUGGUCAAUCCCCUGCUGGGCGAAGCAGCGGCGGGGAGGUGGGGUGGUCCUGGGGUCCUCCCCGUAAACACGCCCCCCACCCCCAGCCCCAGCUUCAUUUGCCUAAUGCAAUGCGACUGAACUCUUGCUGAACUCGCCUGACGGCGCCUCACCUCCGGGUGACCCACCCACUGCUGCCCGUGACAUCACCAGCUCGCCAACCCGCCCUCCGGGCUCGCCCACUGGCCCCCUUCUCGGUCCUGUCCAGCCCCAAAGUCCGAACAGGCGGGCAGUAAGCAUAGGGCCCAGAGGCAGGUGGCCCAGCGUUAGAACCACAAACGCAGCGUGCUGGGUGUCCCGGGUGUGACAUUGUGCAGCCUGGGUGCUGUGUCGGAAUGAGACCUCUAGCUUGUGUCACUGUCUGUGACAUCAUGUGAGACUCCGGCUGCCGGCUCACUCGCCCGAAAACGACGCGGCAGAACUGAGCUGUUAGCACAAACACUAGCGGGGAGCUCUCCUCCCACACUCUGCGUGCUUCCGGCAAGCAAAGCUCCGCCCAGGGUGUCUCCCAGCCCGGGAACGAGGAUGGGCCAGCCCAGGACAGAUAAAAGGAGACUUCCAGCUGAACCACUUCCUCCCUAGGACAACUGUUUCAGUGGAAGAAAGGCCUGGGUUAGUUCUAGGCGAUCCAACGACCUGAGACAGCAGAGAGUCUACUGACCGCAGGAGGGAAACUUCUGGACUCCCAAGAGAGGGCAGAGGCUUGCAAAUGAAGGUCCAGGGCAAAUGCGAGGCCUUGGCAUGGACGCCCUUUAUAUUGAUGCAGCUCCUGCGCCAGGGAUGCGGUGGACCCUGUGUGCUCAUAGCUUCAAGAUGCAGAAGGAGCCUGAGACUCUCGUCCUUCAUGGUCAGGCAAAGGUACUUGAAGCUACUGAAGGCCACAACCAACAAGCAGGUCACUGCGGCCUCACAGCAAGUGGCCUACCAGAGACAGACCAGAAGGGCAAAGAGAUUCUGAGAAAGGUUCAGUGACCUGCCCAAGGCUGCACCAGCAGAGCUGACUUGAAAGAUUUUUGGCCCUGGAGCAAGUAGGGAAGCAGGUCUUUUGGCUGACUCUGCAUUUUGGACCCCCAAGCAAGACUCUACACCUAGGCAGUACCCGCCUCCUCCAGGUCGUCCAUCCUAUUGUGCCGGGUGUGAACCAGCAAGGAAGAACGGUCAAGUCUGCAAGCCUCAGGAAGUAGCAGAGCAAGGGAUGAAGAGACAGGCACACCCCCUCCUCCUUCCUCUGGGCUUCCUUCCCAGGUUCCCCUAGGCCUGGGCUCCCGAGGCAGGGAGGGGGAGGGGAACACAUCCCCAUAUCUAGACAAGAACCCAGCCAACGAGUAGAAGGAAAAUCUGUUACCACCCUUUGAGGUUCCUGUCCUAACUCCUCUAUUGAUUGCUUCCAACUUCCCUGCCCCCCGCGUCACAAAUUGCAACAAAAUAUGAAUAACAACUAUGGCUUUUA